UACGAAGGGGGCUAGCGUUGUUCGGAAUCACUGGGCGUAAAGCGCACGUAGGCGGAUCGUUAAGUCGGGGGUGAAAUCCCAGGGCUCAACCCUGGAACUGCCUUCGAUACUGGCGAUCUUCGAGUCCGGGAGAGGUGAGUGGAACUCCGAGUGUAGAGGUGAAAUUCGUAGAUAUUCGCAAGAACACCAGUGGCGAAGGCGGCUCACUGGCCCGAUACUGACGCUGAGGCACGAAAGCGUGGGGAGCAAACAGG
rnacentral:rRNA from 1 species